AUUGAACGCUGGCGGCAUGCCUUACACAUGCAAGUCGAACGGUAACAGGUCUUCGGAUGCUGACGAGUGGCGAACGGGUGAGUAAUACAUCGGAACGUGCCUAGUAGUGGGGGAUAACUACUCAAAAGAGUGGCUAAUACCGCAUGAGAUCUACGGAUGAAAGCAGGGGAGCGCAAGACCUUGUGCUACUAGAGCGGCCGAUGGCAGAUUAGGUAUUUGGUGGGAUAAAAGCUUACCAAGCCGACGAUCUGUAGCUGGUCUGAGAGGACGAUCAGCCACACUGGGACUGAGACACGGCCCAGACUCCUACGGGAGGCAGCAGUGGGGAAUUUUGGACAAUGGGCGCAAGCCUGAUCCAGCAAUGCCGCGUGCAGGAUGAAGGCCUUCGGGUUGUAAACUGCUUUUGUACGGAACGAAAAGCCCUGGGUUAAUACCCUGGGGUCAUGACGGUACCGUAAGAAUAAGCACCGGCUAACUACGUGCCAGCCGCCGCCGUAACAC
rnacentral:rRNA from 1 species